GACGAACGCUGGCGGCGUGCUUAACACAUGCAAGUCGUACGGUAAGGCCCUUUCGGGGGUACACGAGUGGCGAACGGGUGAGUAACACGUGAGUAACCUGCCCACAACUUUGGGAUAACGCUAGGAAACUGGUGCCAAUACUGGAUAUGUGCUCCUGCUGCAUGGUGGGGGUUGGAAAGCUCCGGCGGUUGUGGAUGGACUCGCGGCCUAUCAGCUUGUUGGUGGGGUAGUGGCCUACCAAGGCGGCGACGGGUAGCCGGCCUGAGAGGGUGACCGGCCACAUUGGGACUGAGAUACGGCCCAGACUCCGACGGGAGGCAGCAGUGGGGAAUAUUGCACAAUGGGCGCAAGCCUGAUGCAGCAACGCCGCGUGCGGGAUGACGGCCUUCGGGUUGUAAACCGCUUUCAGCAGGGACGAAGCUUUUUGUGACGGUACCUGCAGAAGAAGCACCGGCUAACUACGUG
rnacentral:rRNA from 1 species